AAAACUACAGAGAAAAGAGAACCAACAUAGUAUUUUCUACCAUUUUAAUACCAGAUAACAGCAGCAUUUACAACCAAACAAAAGUUACAGUCAUGUAAAAAUAAAAAAACAAACAGGAAAGGAAGUGUCUCUGUAACCGAGAAUAAAAAAGACGUUCAUCACGGGACAAAGUGUUCAGAAGUUUUACAAGAUGAACAACUGGUAUCUGGGUUUGUAUUCUACUCUACCCUACGGUUCUGGACGGUUUUAUUCAGAGACGACGUGGAGCGUUUUUACAGCACCUGAAAACACCUUCGACCCGCCCGACGCCCUGCACACGGAGGCUUCCACAGCAGAACCAGGACCGUUUAUUCUGCAACUGAUCCAUAAACCCACUGAGCGUCCAAGAACCAAAGGCGGGUCGGCGGCUCAGACAUGUGAUCAAUCCCAUAAGGCUUUGCUCUGUCUUUCCAAACACAAUGAAAGCCGUUUGUUUCGUUAACGUCGCAGAUUGUCCUCGUGGAAUUUGACUCGACGUACUCAUUAAAGCAUCUGUGCUUCAUCUUUUAGAACAUGCGAAGCAGCAGCAGCAGCAGCAGCGUCAUGCAAAGGUCAAAUCAACCUGACGGCGGUUUACAAACGUCUGCGUCCAAGACGCAAAGGUCUUUUAAAGAGUGGAUACGAAAAGUCAUGAGCUUCUCAGAGGCAGCACUGGUAUGUGUGGAAACAA